UACGUAGGUGGCAAGCGUUGUCCGGAUUUACUGGGUGUAAAGGGCGUGCAGCCGGGCUGACAAGUCAGAUGUGAAAUCCCGCGGCUCAACCGCGGAACUGCAUUUGAAACUGUUAGUCUUGAGUACCGGAGAGGUCAUCGGAAUUCCUUGUGUAGCGGUGAAAUGCGUAGAUAUAUGGAGGAACACCGGUGGCGAAAGCGGCUCUCUGGCCUGUAACUGACACUGAGGCUCGAAAGCGUGGGGAGCAAACAGG
rnacentral:rRNA from 1 species